CAGCACCCUAGCUGCCCGGCCGGCCCAGCUCGGCUCUGGAGGGCGUCCCUCGCAUCUGGACUCCCUCUGCCCGAGGGAGGAGCCGCAGCCGCGGUCGCCCCGCCCCUGGCGUUCUUUGACUCCCCCGGCCUCUUGGACAUCUGGGUGCGGGGGUUAGUGCAUCAGAUGUGGCUCCUGGGCCGCCAGAUGUGCGCGUUCCCCGCCCGGGGCAGGCGGCCGGCGAGUCUGGGAGGACGCGUGGGAGGGGCUGGGAGUUUUCCCUCCUAGCAGACUUAAAAGCCAGCAGAACCUCCAGCCCCCUGGGCUCCCGGCCUGGGCCUCCUGGGUCUCCGGGACGCACUGCCCAACGGAAAAGUUUUCAGCCCAGUCUGUGCCUCGCCGCCAAGCAGCCCUUGGGGCUUCUCAAAGUGGUAGAGAAAAUAGGACAGCUCUACAGGAUGCCCCAAAGAAAACCCUCAUUUGUCGACCAGGCGACCUUAGUGCUGGCGUGGGACUACAGCUGCGCAGCCAGCAAACCCCAGUUGGGGGAGGGGGAGAAGUGGCAGUAGAGUUCGCAUCUGGGGCUUGCUCUAAAGCGCUCUUUGACUGCUUUUGGAUUCCAUAUUUGAAGUUGAGAGUCGUAUUCCACCUGGUACAGGCAGUUCAGGGCAGGAGAAAAGCCAAGUGAACUCUGUGACUCAAUCCCCUUGGAAUGUGCCUGGAAUAAUAAUAGGGACUUGAAAGGGUUUUAUGGCCGAGGUGGCUAGUGGAGAGCAGUCUCCUACGCCUUGCAGUUGGCGGUCGGCCGAGGGGGGCAGUAUUGCCUUAUGCAGAGCUUCUGCGCCUGCAAACGGGACAAAAAUAGUCGGAGCAUCUGGUUUAAAUCAACCAAAAAGCAUUUCUAUCAGCUUAAUCCACCGGCCUACAGAACUGACAGAACAGGACAAGCCAAAUAUAUUCCCGGUACUCUUUUAACACUCCAAUAAUAGCUAAGCCCAAUCACACUUUACCGCUGGGAUUUCUGUGUCCUACCAUACAACUGUCGUUAUUUUAUAGAUGUUGCAAAUUAAACUUCCUUUUCUGGAGUUGUGUGUGGGCAUGUGCUUAAGCAGUUACAUUUGCAAGCAACGCUCGACUACGCUGCCCUUUUCGUUUUCCUUUUUCUUUCUCUCUUUUGGUAUGAGGUCUUAGAAUAGUCAAAAGUAUCUAAGGCCAACAUAUGGGUUGCUUACACCACUAAAUAUAUAGCUGCAUUUCCCUCUCUUAACGCCCUAAUCAGGAUUCCAAAGUGGCCGCUACCAAGUCCCGUUCUUGGAAAGUGGCCAACAGUCUGUCUGGUGGAGGGUGCUGCUAAUUAGAGAGAGCCCAUAAACCUCUCUGUCAAAGAGGGCAUGUGACCUUCUCUUCAAGUCUGAACAAUAAAGCCGGCGAACUGCAGACUGCACUCAACACUGGCUGCCCCGCGGAUUCCCUAAAUAGGAACAGGAUGAAGGCCAGGCUCAAGAGGUUACCAUAGCUCUGCUCCCACACUUUGAGGAAUCGGUCACUCCACUUCCCCAUAUAACUUGUUUCAAUUACUCUCUACAAUCUAUUUAGAGGAGAGCAGCUUGCAGAGAGCACUCAUUGUCUAAUCUAAAUGAGGAAGCAAUUAUUACUUGCUGCAGUCUAAUGUGCUUUGAGACUGGUGGGUCAAAGAGCAACCUGAUUUCUUGUAACGUGUCUUUGCACUUUGGAAGAUACACCUUUUUAAUGACAUUUAUUUACUCCUGCUUUUAGGACACAUUUUUCUUUCUAUUAAGAUUACAAAAUUAAGGUGUUUUUCCCCUUCUCAGUCUUCAAUGUCCUUUUUAAUUUUAGAAUUUAAGCUAUUGUAAACACCCCAAGUACUUUUGCAUAUUGUUUAAUGUUAAAUAUUAUUUUUUUUAGUGCUUUCUUAUAGGCAUGUUCUCUGAUUAUAGCAAAAUAGAGUUCUCUAAGUCUUCCCUUCUUUGUUUAAUUUACCUCCCUGGGAGCCCCCUUGCUAGCUUUAAUUUUAUACAACAUGUUGUAAACUAUAAAUAAUACAGCUCCACUUUCCUAGAACAUAUGGAAACUGUCGCCUGCUAUAUAUCCUAACUGUACUUGCUUUCAGCUUAAAGACUGAAUAAAGUUAAUCUCCUGUGUAAAAAGGCAUUUAGCCUUUUGUGUGUGUGUGUGUGCAUUUUAUUAGUUAAAACCCAGUAUGGAACAGCACAUGAAAUUCUUGUUGUGAACAGAGCACAUAAAAGGGUUUACAAGGUGUGGUUUGAAGAGAGGAAGCC
rnacentral:lncRNA from 1 species